rnacentral:lncRNA from 1 species
CCUAGCAGGAAUUUUUCCAGUGCUAAGGUGACCACCCUGGGAUGUUUGCCAAAAAACAUUUACAGACAUAAAUCAAUCACUGCUGCUCGAGGCAUGGGACAGGAGUUGGAGUAAGCUUGGGAUGAAAGCCAGAAUGAGAAGCAUUGGAGAAUAAGGGCUUUGAAAUUUUUUGAUACACGCUUGGGAAUCUGAAAGGGCACAUACAUGCCCUGACCUAUAUACAUACUCCAUACAAAACCAGGAAGAUUCAAAGCUUGCACCUCAGCCUGGCUUUUAGGCUCUGCACAGCUGGAAGUGGAGACUAGGGCAGAGUUGUAGACUGCCUGGAUGAGUAUUGAGUCUUGAUGAAAAUCACACAAAGACACAAUUAAACCAUUAUAGUAAAGAGAGAAUCUUGAAAGCCUUGAAAGAAGUAACUCAUCACAUACAAGGAUCCUUUUAGCUGUUUUGAGAUGAUAAAUAAAGUCUAGACAGUAAUAGAAUGACAAAAUUUUGAAAGGAAAAGAGUUGUCAACCAUGAAUUCUGUGUCCAGCAAAACUAUCAGAAAUGUAAGGAGAGCUGGGCACGGUGGCACACACCUGUAAUCCCAGUGGCUUUGGAGGCUGAGGCAGGAGGAUUGUGAGUUCAAAGCCAGCCUUAGCAACUUAGUGAGGCAUUUAGCAACUCAGAAAGACCCUGUCUCUAAAUAAAAUAUAAAAAAA